GUCCUGUAUUAGAUUGCAGCCCCGCACCUCUAACCCAGGCAAUAUCCGGAUGCCAUCAGUGACAGUGGAAAUGAGCUGCAGGAACCAUGAGUUAUCUCCACCAGCUUGGCACUACCUUCCCCAAAAUGGUCACUGUGGUCUUCCACAAAUGAGAACCCAACCCACGUCCUCACCUCACGCUGCUCGGCUGCUGCUCUCCCUGUCAUGCCAAGAGUGUGGAGGCGCUGCAAGAGUUAAAGGGAGCACGGACUGCAGGGCAGGCUUGCCGUUAACAGUGAAAGCAGAGAAAAAGCAAUAGCAGAUUUACUUUGGCUCAUGCUACGUUCAGCACGCUGCGCUCUUAGCUCCUUUCACAUUUUAUGAGACAAAUUACCAAAAUUAAGCAUUUCAAAAUGCUGAGAUUAUGAGACGCUUAAAAUCAAAUCUUUACCAGUAUAAAAUUCUUGGAUUUGGGCCAGUUGCUCUGAAGUCUGUUCCUUUCUAGUGCACAUGGUGCUGACCUGCAUGUGCUAUCAGAGAUGUAAAUGCAAAGACUGCAUUCCAUUUCAGUAUUUUACUAUUUUACUAUCACACAGAGCAGGGCAAUGCUACCUUCCUGAUUGUCAGUAUGAUGUCUCUCAUUUACUUCUGCAGUUAAAUACGUUUCAGUACCCUUCUGUGCAAUGCUGAAUUCCUUUCUGAGCUAUCCACUGCCUUUUUUGGUAUGGCUUUUUCCUCAUCUCUUGGAAACACACUUCAAGGUAACGUCCCUGCCAACACGCACAUAGAACUAAAAGCUUGAAUCCUAAGGCACCAAAAGAACUGGAAGAAUGCUUGUGACAAUUUGUGUUCACUUACAUGCAAGUAUCUAGCUUCAGAGGAGGCUUGGACAAGGAAAGCAACACACAAGGAAAUUUGCUAGAAAUUAUGCAGAAGGAAAAAAAUCUCUGAAGAAUAUUUAGAUGUUAUAUUCAUACUAGUACCUCAAGUGCAUACCAAGGUUAAUACGAGUAGCAGUGACUUCCUGUAGGUCCCCAAGGAUCUCCGUGUCCUUUCCAGAAAACAGGAGUGAUUUCUGCUUUCCUUUCCAAAGAUAAGUGUACUCAGCACUUAAGGUGUGUCAUGCCAGAGCUAAGCUGAGUUAGUAAAGGUCAUCAUGAAAAAAUGGGUAGAGGCAUCCCAAAGUUCUCACCUUCCCCUAAUAACAAAAGUUCUUAACAAAAAAGAGUAAUAAAGAUGCUUGUCUGUUAUUUGGCUACAACGCAUUCAUUUUUCACCUCUAUAUUCUCUGGCUUAAGAAAGAGCAGAACAAAAUCCCUCAUCCUGUUUUCCUGAGCAGUUUGGACACUUCCUCCUUCUCUCAUAGAUUUUGAGCAAGACAUAGUGAACAUCUGUCACUUGCAGCAAAUAUUGAUCAGUGUCUGCAUGGCUCCUCCACCUGACCUUCAAUUUGCCAACAAAGUCCUUGUUAUUAUUCUGCAGUUACUUGGAACAGUUAUCCAGUUCCUUUCUCCAGCACAUUUGCCCAGUAAAAGGCACCAUCAGCCUGAGAAGCAAAAAGACAUCUGAGUCUCCCAGAGUGACAAGAGGAAUGGCAACACUGUUAACAUACGCAGCAGUCCAGGGAACAAUUCUUAUUUUUGAUGCAAUAAAUUCGUCCGAAUUUCUAAAAAUCCUGUCAUCAACUAUUGUAUAUCAUCCAGUAUCAUUUAUGAAUUUCUCACUGCAAUCUAUGAGACUUUACAGAAACUUGAAAAA
ensembl:lncRNA